rnacentral:rRNA from 1 species
GUUAACGACCAUACCACAAUGAACACACCGGUUCUCGUCCGAUCACCGAAGUUAAGC